GGCUUAAAAGAAGUGUUUGAGUGCAAAUCAAACGAUGGGUCUAAGAUGAUCCUUAAGCCU
rnacentral:tRNA from 1 species